GGAAGGGUGGCAGAGUGGUCGAUUGCACCGGUCUUGAAAACCGGCGACGCGCAAGCGUCCGUGGGUUCGAAUCCCACCCCUUCCGCCA
rnacentral:tRNA from 6 species